AUUAUACCAGCCAAAAAUGCGUGCAAAGCGAGAUAAAUCGAUCUAACCAUAGGCGGUACUAGAGUUCUAGACCCUCUUGGCAGGCGCGGGGGCAGACAAUAUUACGGACAUACUUCACACGAUGGAUGGACCACUGUUGUAGGUGUGAAGUUGGAAACGUAGAGGGGAAAUUUUAUGUAUAUAUGUACACAAUGAUUAACCAAUGCAAACGAAAGACGAUUCUGUGCGGAGUUUGG